rnacentral:lncRNA from 1 species
CCCCAUUCAGCAGUGGGCCCAGACAGGCAACUAUAGUUUUUGUUUAUUGUAUUUCUGUGGACGCAUCUUGGUUCAUUAAGGAAGUUAUCUGUUUCUUAGAUAAUUUGGAAGACCAAAACAGAAUAUGACCUGUAUUUUUUUGUACUUCAUUCUUUCAGUACAGGUUUGAAGAUCCCUGCUAGGAGAGGACAGAAAUGUUCAUUUAUUCUGGCUGAACUAAUGUUAGAGCGUCUAUGAAAGAACACCAGCUUCCCCAGUUACUGAUUUCUUUCCCCAGCUUGCCCAUUCAGUUGUGCUGACACAGCUAAUCCUUGGCCUGUCCUCUGAGUGGCAUCAGCACAGACUCAGAAACCCAAUUAUGUCAUUCUAACUUACAUCAUGGGGUGAAGACAAGCAACCACAGAACAAAACUCCAUAAGGUGCAUUGGUCAUUAAGACUUAUUAACAAGAGCCCAUGAGUCAAGAAAUUAGAAAGGAGGCAGUUGGUUCCUAGUGCAGAGGAAACAUCACCACUCUGCAUAAAUGAAAGAGGAGGCCAGAAGAACAAGUGUGUUUUUCAUAAAGAGUGUUAUUGUUUGAAAGAAGAGAUAUUUCUAUUCUUCCAUGCAUGGGAAAACUGCAACCAAGGUGUAAACUUGGAAGGAGCAUGUUUGGAGAUUUUUCCAGGAUGGACAGAGGAAACCAUACUGAGAAGAAGAAGCAAAACACCCUGUUUCUUCACAGCAUUAUUAUUUGCCUUGUUAUGGUGAUAGGCCAUAAAAGCCAGUAACUAAUAAAUGAGAUGGACAUUUAUGAUCACCAAGGAGAAGAUAACCGUGAGAAAUUCUGCUCUAAUCAAGUGUAUUCUGUGCUCACUGGGUGGGAGGGUCACACUGUGUGAGACUAAUAAGGACAGAGCUGCAUCCCCCUCUACCACUCUUUGGAGACUCACUCCAGCAACUCCUCAGCACUACAGCAGCGUCGUGCAGGCAUUUACUGUGCUUCUGGGGGACAUAGUAGAGCAAAAAUUAAAGAUUUGUGGCUGAUUGU